rnacentral:misc_RNA from 1 species
CAAAGCACUAAUCAAGAAUAUUGAUUAUACAAAUCAAAAUUAUUGCACAUGGUUUCUCCACUUAAAUAAAAAUGUCUCUGUUCACAUUUGACACUUUGAUGUACUCAUGAUUUAUUUAUUUAUUUAAUGAAUUAAUAUUGCUAUUCGCUUUCAUUUUAAUCGUGAAGAUAGCUAUGGUGUUUUUGGGUAAAAAAAAUCCAUUUUUGUCUGUUAUGGGAAAGGCUAUUUACAGAAACCCACUAGCUACAACAAAUAAUGGUGCUGUUAGUCUAACCAGUCUAGAAAUCCAUUUCCCAAUUCAACAAGAUGCAGCAUGGUGAGCCUCCUGACUCUCUCUCUCUCUCUCUUAAUUUGUCUUUUACACAGAGCCAUUUAUAUCAAUAACAAAGACUUCUUUACUCUGUUCUUCAGGUUACGGGCAUGGAAAGGUCAUCCUCACUCGGGUUCUCGUUGCCUCCUUCUUGGGGAUUGCCACCGCCGCUGCUACUAAAUAUUUCCGGAAAAGGUCGAAAGCUAGAAGGGAUGCACUAAACAUCAUCCCAAAGCUGGACAGGACAGAAUCUGGUCGUGUUGGAAAUCUUGAAAGAUUCUCUCACUAUGUUGCUAGGCAACUGGGAUUUACAGAUCCAAAUGAGUGUGCACGGCUAUGCAAGUUGGCUUAUGAUUAUUUAAGGAAAUCCAAGGAUUGUGAGGCUAACAUCUACGAAUAUUUUGCUAAUGAAGCUAAGGCAGAGUCUCUGUAUGUGAAGCUUAUAGAAGAGUUUGAAAGAUGCAUCCUCUGUUACUUUGCCUUCCAUUGGACUCAGGUUUCUCAUUUGAUCACUCAGGUGAUCAAUGAUGAAUCAGAGAAGAAGCCAAAGCUGAAAGACUUUGUAAUGGCAGCCACAAGGAAACAAAGAUUUGAUAGGGUGACCAAGGACUUAAAGGUGACAAGGGUAUUCUCUACGCUGGUGGAGGAGAUGAAAGCAAUCGGCAAGGGUGAUUCACAGAGUUCAGAUUUGAUGGUGCCGAUGGCCCUCAGUGAGAGAAGUCCGGUGCUUCUCCUUAUGGGUGGUGGUAUGGGUGCUGGCAAGAGCACUGUCAUCAAAGAAAUUCUCAAAGAGUCAUUCUGGUCAGGAGCAGCACCGGUAAUAGUAGAGGCUGAUGCAUUUAAAGAAUCAGAUGUUAUUUACAGAGCCAUAAGCGCUAUGGGUCAUCACGAUGACAUGCUUCAAACAGCUGAAUUGGUGCACCAAUCAUCAACUGAUGCUGCAUCAUCUCUGCUAGUUACUGCGUUGAACGAAGGUAGAGAUGUGAUCAUGGAUGGUACACUCUCAUGGGAGCCUUUUGUUGACCAGACGAUUGCAAUGGCACGUAACGUGCACAAAAACAGGUAUCGAAUGGGAAUCGGAUACAAGGUGGUUGAGGAUGGAACCAUUAUUGAAAAUUACUGGGAAAGAGAGGAAGAUGAAAUUCAGGAAAGGAAACCAUACAGGAUAGAGAUGGUUGGAGUUGUUUGUGAUGCUUAUCUUGCUGUUGCUAGAGGCAUCAGGAGAGCUAUAAUAACCAGAAGAGCUGUGAGGGUUGGUUCACAGUUGAAGUCCCACCAGAGAUUUGCUGCUGCAUUUCCAAGAUACUGCGAACUUGUUGACAAUGCCAGGCUAUAUUGCACCAAUGCAGUGGGAGGACCACCUACGUUGAUAGCGAGGAAAGACGCAGACAGCAAGUUGCUAAUUGAUCCAGUAGAUAUCAGAUGCUUGACAAAUGUGAGCAGUAUAAACUCUGAUGCAGAAUCUAUCUACGAGCUUUAUUCUGACCCUUCCCCAAUAUACGAAUCCGGCACGGUUUGGAAAGAUAUCAUCUUGGCCCCUUCGAGAUCUGCCCUGCAAUUAGAGCUCAAAAUGGCAAUUCAAAUGAUUGAAAACCCGCCAUCUGCAAACACUUGUAGCUUGAAGUGAUCCAGUUUUGAAAAACCCAGCCUCAAAUUCUUUUAACUCGUGAAUUCUAAUUUUGUGAACCGAGUAUGUGCUUAUUCAAUUGGAGAAGCUUGUUAGUAAUUGAAA